rnacentral:rRNA from 1 species
GACGAACGCUGGCGGCGUGCUUAACACAUGCAAGUCGAACGGAAAGGCCCAGCUUGCUGGGUACUCGAGUGGCGAACGGGUGAGUAACACGUGGGUGAUCUGCCCUGCACUCUGGGAUAAGCCUGGGAAACUGGGUCUAAUACCGGAUAUGACCGACUGUCGCAUGGUGGUUGGUGGAAAGCUUUUGCGGUGUGGGAUGGGCCCGCGGCCUAUCAGCUUGUUGGUGGGGUAAUGGCCUACCAAGGCGACGACGGGUAGCCGACCUGAGAGGGUGAUCGGCCACACUGGGACUGAGACACGGCCCAGACUCCUACGGGAGGCAGCAGUGGGGAAUAUUGCACAAUGGGCGCAAGCCUGAUGCAGCGACGCCGCGUGAGGGAUGACGGCCUUCGGGUUGUAAACCUCUUUCACCAGGGACGAAGCGUGAGUGACGGUACCUGGAGAAGAAGCACCGGCCAACUACGUG